AAAAUAUUGACAUAACUGCUAUAAUGAAUGGUAAUACUCAGCGUAAACUUGUUAUGUCAGGCAUAAAGUACUAAACCCACGAAUGCAUAUUACGCAUAUUACAAUUUGCGAAGCAUUUUUAAAUUCCCAUGAGCAAACAAACGUUCACUUUACAAAGAUAUUUUAAUUUUUUAAAACAAAUUAAUCACCCUGUCAAAAUCCUUUGUGUUACGGCAUUGAAAUUCGAACAAUACGUUAUUUCAAUGAUUUUGUUUUUUUUUGAGACACCCUGUAUAAAAAAGUGAUUAAAGUUAACUAUAGUUAGUGGAAACGUCAUCCAAUAAGAAGCGCGUAUUUGAGAGUUAAUCACUAUUUAACUACAAAAUAGUGAUUAAAAAAGUGAUUAAGAGUUUUAUACAACCGGCCCCAGGCAGUCACUAUCACUUGUGAGUCGGGCUGCGUCGACCAAUCAGAUUGUAAGAAAUGUUAUAAUCACCUGGAAAUUUAUACUAACUACUACUAGGAGUUAAGUGAAGUGCCGCCUCAAACAUGAUGACGCCUCCAAGACUCAUUAGAUAGAUCGUGACAUGGCCAUUUUGCGUAGUUUGGACUUGAAGCGCCUAGAAGGACCAUUGUUUUUCAACGUUCGUUGCGGUUAGAUAAAAUCAAAUUAAUUUUGUUUUAUAUAACCGCAUUGAGUGACAUCAAUGAUCUUAUCAAUGACUUUUUGCAUUUAUUAAAAGAUUACCUAAUGGCUCCGUGUUUGGAUAACCUGAUCCACAUACUCUGGGAUGUUGCGAGAGUUGAGAAAAGCUGACAAAUCACAAGCCACAGGCUAAUGAUUUCUUUGCUUUUUACAUCUCGAGCAACAUCUCAAGUAUUUGGAUCAGGCCAUCCAAACACGGAAAGCAUUAGGUAAUUGUUUUAUAAAAUAAGCUUACAAAGGUACUUUUAAAAUCCCGUGUUUUGAUCUAAACACGGGCAUUGACCAAGCAGCCCUUACGUAGGAUGCAUGUUAUUUUAUAAUAGUAUUUACUACGCAUUUUACCGCUAUGUGCAUUAUGCCUGGUUACAAAAUUUUGCAGUUUUUCGAAGUAUCAGUUCGAAGAAUACUCAAUACUUUGACGAUGAUAGUUUUCAUUCGAAGGUAAUUUACUAUGUUGAAUAAAUUAAAUAUCGAACUUGAAAAGAAUGAAACGUCAAGAAGGUGUCAAAUUGUGUUGCAGGCCUGCGUCAACCUCGUACCCAGGGCUACGAGGUUGGGCCUGCGUCGAAUUAAUGUUUUCUGAUUCUGCUUCGAGCUGAUACUUUGAAAAAGUGCGAAAAAAUUGGGUAACCAGGCAUGAUUUGAAAGUAAUUCACUUCAAGUAAUAGUUAUAUACCUCUAACGCGGUAUAUAACUGAUAUAUCGGACCCGAGGGGCCACAAGCCACGAGUUACUACUUAAAUCAUGAUUGAGGAGGUUUAAUUCAAACCGAUAUUUUUAUUUCGAACGUUUUUUUCAAGAUUUUUUUAGUUUUGUCGACAAGUUUUAUUUAAUUAUUUAUUAACGAGAUAUAACUAAGUUAUAUCCCGAUACAUCAAAGAAAACCGACUUAAUCAUGGUAUAAUCUUCUUUGCAGAGUAUACACUCUGCACUCACCCACAUGAUACAUCUAACUGACAUGAUACUGUUGACAAUGAUACAUUGACCAUUUAAAUUAUACAGGCUAUACUAAUUUCGAGAUUCUACGGUAAUAGAUUGAAACAAAAUCAAAAGAAAAUUAGAUACGUGGUAUUAAAUCUUCUCUCGCUGUUAAACAAACAAAACUUUUCUUUGUGUAGUUAUAUAUUAGCUAUUAUUAUUAAAUAUAUUUAAUGUAAUUUAGAGUUAGCGGGGAGGCCAAGUAUCGCGAUUAUAUUUCCUUGUGGUCAGUUGUUCAAAGCUCGUGAUAGCGCUAACUCUAAUGAUUUAAUCUGUAAUUGUAGUUUGUGCUUUAAUUCUGCACGUCCGUUUAUUUCAAAACUUCAGAAAAGUGAACUUUUCAUCCAGAUCAGUUUCCUGGAUAAAUAUUUCUAAGUUUAUAAACUGACAAGGGCUAUGAAUUUUGCUAUGAAUUUUAAGUUAAUUAACCCAACAGGCAACUUAGAAAUAUUUCUUCAGGAAUCUCGUCUGGAUCAAUAGGGGUUUUCUUCUCUGAAGUUUUGAAAUAUAAAACAGACAUACCCGAAAUACGGAAAUACACAAACUAAAACAGUGGUGAAAUUUUAAUCCACUGUUAAGGCCGAUUUCCACUCAGGAAAAUAAGCAUGCAUGGAUCGGACCGGAUCGGAACAAAAUUGAACUCGCGCAUUGGGCUUUCGCGGUAGAAAUUUUCAGUCUGUUCCAGUUUAAACCUAUGAUCCGCAACCCGGAUGAUAAAGAGUUGAAGUAUUUUCAACUUUUUUGGUCCGGCGGUGUAGAUGCGCGAGUUCAAUUUUGUUCCGAUCCGAUCCGAUCCGAUGCUUAUUUUCUUGAAUGGAAACAAUCUUAAGUUCUAUAAUCCAGCUUUAAACAACCGCCGUAAACGACCUGGCAUUAUUAGACCAUCAUCUGAAUAACUUUGUAUAUACAGGGUGUCUCAAAAAAACCCAAAAUCAUUGAAAUAACGUAUUGUUCGAAUUUCAAUGCCGUAACACAAAGGAUUUUGACAGGGUGAUUAAUUUGUUUUAAAAAUUAAAAUAUCUUUGUAAAGUGAACGUUUGUUUGCUCAUGGG
rnacentral:lncRNA from 1 species